rnacentral:rRNA from 1 species
AACUUUCAGCAAUGGAUCUCUAGGCUCUCACGUCGAUGAAGAACACAGUGAAAUGUGAUACAAUAUGUAAUAAGCUGAAAACCUUCACUUUUGACGAAAUUUACCCAUUGUCUUCACUUUUCACAGCUGCU